CGUGCAAGCCGGGGCGUUAGCGGUGCCUUGUACCUGCAAUCCGCUAUAGCAGGGGUGAUGCCGCGUCUGAGGGUGUUUCUCUGCGAAGCUGCCCUGUUCAGCCGGUGUUGAAGUCCGGGUCUCAUGCAAUGUUUCCUUUGUGAACCGUGUCAGGGCGGGAACGCAGCAGCACUAAGCGAGGUUGAGACAUGUGCCGUGAGGGUGCCUGGAUGGAGCUGUCCUGUUCAGGUAACGUUCGUGGAGCGCAUUCGAAGCGCGGCGC
rnacentral:SRP_RNA from 1 species